rnacentral:rRNA from 1 species
CCCUAGUAACGGCGAGUGAAGAGGGAAAAGCUCAAAUUUAAANNNNNNCGGUCUUCGAUCGUCCGAGUUGUAGUUUAGAGAGGUGUUUUCCGCGUCGGACCACACACAAGUCCUUUGGAAUAAGGCUUCAUAGAGGGUGAGAAUCCCGUUCAUGGUGUGGACUACCGAGGCUAUGUGAUGCACCCUCAAAGAGUCGAGUUGUUUGGGAAUGCAGCUCAAAAUGGGUGGUAAAUUCCAUCUAAAGCUAAAUAUUGGGGAGAGACCGAUAGCGCACAAGUACCGUGAGGGAAAGAUGAAAAGCACUUUGGAAAGAGAGUUAAACAGUACGUGAAAUUGCUGAAAGGGAAACGCUUGAAGUCAGUCGCGUCCGCUUGGACUCAGCCGUGGUUCUCCACGGUGUACUUCCAUGCGGAUGGGCCAACAUCAAUUUUGUUCGCCGUACAAAGGCGUUGGGAAUGUGGCACUCUUCGGGGUGUGUUAUAGCCCUUCGUUGUAUGCGGUGGAUGGGAUUGAGGAACGCAGCGCGCCGUAAGGCUGGGAUUUAUCCACACACGCGCUUCCGGAUGU